UGGAUGACUCUCGGCAACGGAUAUCUCGGCUCUUGCAUCGAUGAAGAACGUAGCAAAAUGCGAUACUUGGUGUGAAUUGCAGAAUCCCGUGAACCAUCGAGUCUUUGAACGCAAGUUGCACCCGAGGCCAUCCGGCCAAGGGCACGCCUGCCUGGGCGUCACAC
rnacentral:rRNA from 1 species